rnacentral:rRNA from 1 species
GUGCCAGCAGCCGCGGUAAUACGGAGGGGGUUAGCGUUGUUCGGAAUUACUGGGCGUAAAGCGCGCGUAGGCGGACUAUUAAGUCGGGGGUGUAAUCCCGGGGCUCAACCCCGGAACUGCCUUUGAUACUGGUAGUCUAGAGUUCGAGAGAGGUGAGUGGAACUCCGAGUGUAGAGGUGAAAUUCGUAGAUAUUCGGAAGAACACCAGUGGCGAAGGCGGCUCACUGGCUCGAUACUGACGCUGAGGUGCGAAAGUGUGGGGAGCAAACAGGAUUAGAUACCCGGGUAGUCC